rnacentral:tRNA from 1 species
GCCCCCUUGGUGUAGUCCGGCCCAACAAAAAACCACAGUAUUGUGGCAUAUGUUCCGGAGAAUCAUUUCGCCCUCUCGAGGCGAAGACCUGGGUUCAAAUCCCGGAGGGGGCA